UUAAUAAGACACUAUUUGUUCUGUAAACCUUCAUCUAAAGUACAAUAAAAAAAAUUUUUUUUUUUUAAAAAGCCUUCCUUCUUCUGCUCUCUGCAGCUGGUGGCUUGCAAGUCAUUUCUAGGGCUUCUUUGGUCAGACAGCUUUUGCUUCCAGCCCUAAUACAUGCUGCUAGGCAUCCUCUUCACCUCACUCAAGGGGUGAGAGGGCAAGAAGCUGCAGAGUAUCCAAGUCCACCCGAACCCUUAUCAUUCCAUCUUCCCAUGCCCUCCCCUAUCAUACAGCCCACUAACUACCCUAGAGUUGUGGCUGGUUUAUUGAUGCGAGUCUGCUACAUUUUACAUGCCUGUAUCUGCUUUAUCUCCUCCUCAAAUUCUAAGUUUUCUGAAAGUAUGGAUGAAAUCUUAUCUCCCACCCCCAUCCACACCCUCAACUCUGUACCGGACCACAGUCAAUUCAAACAAUAUUGUUUAGGUUUAAAAGUUAAAAAGGGAGAGGGAAUAUAGAGCGGAGCUUGGCUUAGGGCUAAAAGUAGAAUGACCCUACAUUUUACAGCUGGCAUCCUGAUACUCUUGAGAACAAAGGGGGCGCUAUUCACAACCAGCAGAGACAACGGAUUAAACUAGGUUUGCCCCAGGGAAAACAGGCAAAGGGUCACCCUUGCUAGAGAGAUCAUUCCAUGUAGAUGUGAGUUACACGGGAGCUGCAAGAGGGGCGUCCAAGCCCCUUCAGUUCCUGUAGGUGCAGUCUGAGGGAUCUGCACCAGACAGAGAUUGUGACAGAAAGCCCAGUACCAGGAAGUUCUUCUUUCUAUCUAACCAAACCCUCAGAUAUCCAAGUCAAUCCCACUUUUUAUUAGCCUCAGGGCAACAGAGAACAAUGGCUCAGGAAGGCAACCAGGGAAAUCGUCAGCUUGGGUAGGGAUUCCUCAUUAAGAGUUCGACUGCUAGUUCUUCUUUCACAACUGAACCAAACUCAAUCUGGCUGGCCCAGAAACAUAAACGCCGGGGUUUUUGGGGUCUCUCCCAAUGAGAGCAGAGUUCAUCUCUAACUUGCCCCAAAUCCCCCGACGCUUUCACAAACCCAAUCCAAGGUAGAAAUGGCACCUGUGUACAUACUCCUGAGACCAGGAAAAUCUUCCCUCCGCCAAUAGAAGAGCUGGGGGACCCUGAGCCCUGGGAGGGGGUUGUCUUCUACCACUCGCCACUCCCAGCCCCUAGCAAGCUGAGUCAAGCCCCCAGCCGCACUGGGCUGACUGCAAAGACUCAGGGAACAAGGGAACCUCUCUUCCUCUCUCCCCCACCCUCCAUGAGCUGGUGUUCCUGUGGAGACCAAGGACCUUGCUGACUUCUUUUCAACAAUACAAAAAAGAAGUUUCUGAGAGGGUACAGGGGCAUCCGGGGGAAAGGGAACAAGGAUCUGGGCUCAAGAGGGACCAGCAGUCCCUGCUGACCUGCACAUUCUCAGGCCCUAGGGCUGAUAGUGGAAGAAGUCAAAUGCUCCCACACACUCCCACCACCCCUCCCCUUUUCUUAACCAUAUACAUUUUACUUUAGAAAGGAGGUAUUUCAGAAGCACUGCAUAAAGACAGGGUGACUCUCUGAUCACUCAAAGGUCACUGAGACUUCAGACAAUGCACACAAAAACUGUUUCUACAUCAACAAAAUGACAGAACGGGAUCAGGUGGUUUAUAAGGUUCUUCCUGGCCCCAGGGUUUAACAUAUGACUCUAUACAUUUCCUGAAGAAAUGGGUAAGGGAAAGCCAGUGAAGAGAAGCAGAGCUCAGCCCAGUCUUUUAAUAUCUACUUUGAACAAUUUGACUCUAGGAAAUGUCCCUGUUUUCCUCCCCCACUGACCUUCCAGUUUUGCUGAUGUCUAUCUCAACCUCAGGGCCAGGAGCCUCAUGAGGCAAUAAAACGGCCAAAUUAAUUUUGCUAAUGCUGAUACUAACCUCUAAACUCAGUUUGCAAUACCUAGCAAUAAGUCUGGCCAUAAAAGUGAAAUUCACAUUACUUGGUGAAAUUCUUGUUACCUAUGAGCUAAUAAUAGGAGCCCUGGUGGUGCAGUCCUUAAAGCACUCGGCUGCUAAGCAAAAGGUCGGCAGUUCAAACCCACCAGCCACUCUGCAGGAGAAAUAUGUGGCAGCCUGCUCCUGUGAAGAUUUACAGCUUUGGAAACCCUAUCAGGUAGUUCUACUCUGUCCUACAGGGUCGCUAUGAGUUGGAAUCUACUGAAUGGCAGUGGGUUUGGUUUGGUUAUGAGCUAAUAAACUCAUUGCCUGGAUGAAAAUAAAUCUCUUACUGAAUAAUUAUGCCCCCCAAAUUCUUGCAGUCUUUUCAAUCAAAUCCCCAAGUGCCAUGGGGGAUAUUUCUGUCCAAAACAAAGUCCGUAUCUUGAAGUGGGGAGGGGGAGGAAUGGAUAGAAUCUCCCACCCCAAAACACACAGACACAAAUUUAGCCCUUAAACCCCCGCCCCCGCCCCAACACACACACACACUCCUCUUGCUUUUACUAUAUACCAGGAUAGCCGACAAGCUUUUAGGUUUGCCCACCUAUUACUGCGGUUGGAAAUGGUUAGUGUGGAAACCCCCUCCUCUUUCUGUUCUGUAUAAGUGUACCGCAACUGCAGGGUGCUUGCUUCCACUGCCAACUGAUGAUACACUAAAGAAAGCCGUUUUUAUCCAGAUGUAAAAUGAAGCUGCACUCCUCCCAAACCUGCCGGAAAGUAGACCGGUCUGCACACACCCAGGGGAAAUAUGCACUGCACCCCGCGAGUUACCUGGUAUACGUUCGCUAAAAUCGACAGGAAGAAGUUAGAAUCUUAUAUGGCACCUCAAAAUACAAAACAGAUAAAGGCAUAUCUUCAGGCUGUGUUGCAAAGAUGCAAGAAAUGAGACUCAGGGAUAGAGACCAGAGCAGAGGGAAAGAAGCAGUGAACAGAGUAUUAUCUAAGGAAGGCAGAGCUGAGCAAAUCAUUACAGUGAAGCAUCUGGGUCAAGGUGAGCUGUACCAGAUCACAGGCAAGAAGAGAAAAAAGGAUGGGCCACUUGUGCCUAACACCUGCCUCAAGUGGUGUCCAAGCAAGAAUAAAGAAGAAAAUUAUGAACUCAGUUAACAUGUUGACACUUUCCUGCCCCGUACCUGAGAGCCUGAACAAACACACCUGUUCCAGCAUCCCUUCUCAUUGUCUAUGCAACAUCCGCUUUCACUUUGCAGGAGCCUAGAAAAAGGAACUGGGUUUUCUGGCCUUUGCUCAAGCUGUAACCUUUCAGGCUUACGUCAGGACAGGUGUCUGUUGAGCAGAUGGGGUUGUGAUAUUUCCUGAGAAGAGGAAGUCUCUGGCCAGAACAACAAGCAGCACCACCCCUGAGGUCAGAGUCAGGUGUGAACACUGUGCCGUUGUCUGAGUCUCAAGGGCCCCUCAGUGCUCUGUACUUCAGCCUUUGUGCUGGCAUGAAGGGGACAAAAGCUGUGGGCUGAUCCACAUUUGGGUCAGAGGACUAUUUGAAUUUAGGUGAUGGGGAGAGAGAUUGAGAGGAUUAAAAUAGACUAAGACACUGACAAGUACUUAGGCUGGUACAGGUAUACACACUUAGUAGAGAUUCCCCAGAUCCAGAAGCUGGUUCUCAGUUUGGCAGGUUCAGACAGCCGUUUUACCAAAGCACGUGCAUUGAUCUGGGUUUGUCAAUUUCCUGGAUAACUUCCAUCUGCCUUUAAGACAUUUUCCAUCCUAUUUCACCCCCUCUGUGCUCCAGGAAGCUGGCCUGUAUGGUCUACAUCAAGAGGGUCUCUGACACUCUGGCUUCCAGUUGGCUUUUGCCCACUGGAGGCACUGGCAGGACAUCAUAGUAUGGUAAAAAAGUGAGGUCAGGGUGUUUAUUUCCCCUGGACCUUCCAGGUUAGCCAUGUCCCUCUGCUGAAGUCCCAGGCUACAAUCCGGCAUCCCUCUUCCACACAGAUGCCCGCUCUGGGUUCCAGCAACUGCUCCUUCCCUUUGUCCCUUCAAGCCUAGGGGUGGCAUGAGUUUCCCGCACUGUUAUUUGCCUAGGAUGUUGCAUUAUCCCUUGUAAAUAUCUGGUUUGCCUGUGCCAUGUGUUUACUGUCACAACCUAAUAUUCGGUCAACAUCUGCCAAACUGAAGGCUUUGAAAUUAAGAUCAGAAUAACUGUCCCCAAAGCAAGUUUGUCCACUGCCUGUGAUUUUAUCCUUUUACUUUAUUAGUUUGGAUUGCAAACAGAAUGCUCAAAAGCUCUUAAUUUUGAACUAUAUACUACUGUGUACUACACCUGCAAUUUGAAUAAGCUGUCUUAAGAUGAAUGGUAGUACCUGGGUUAUGUUGUUCUCGUUGUUAGCUGCCGUUGAGUCAGCCCCCAAAUCAUGGCACCACAUUCACAAGAGAACAAGUCCUACGCCACUCCCAUGGUCCGUUGCAGAUCAGAUCACUACGAUCCAUAGGGUUUUCAUUGACUGAUUUUCCAAAGUAGAUUGCCAGGUCUUUCUUCCUAGUCUGUCUUAGUCUGGAAGCUCGGCUGAAAUCUCCUCAGCAUUAUAGCAAUACACAAGCCUCCACUGAAGGAUGAGUGGUGCCUGCGCAUGAGCUGCAUUGGCCAAGAAUCAAACUUGGAUCUCUUGCAUGGAAGGUGAGAAUUCUACCACUGAACCAUCAAGCCUUCACCUGGGUUAUAACCUUGUUAAAUAUAUAUAGGUGUUACAUAUGCUUGCUUUUUCACUCAAUUAUAUGAGAAUAUGAAACUAAAAUUGUACUAAAACAGUAAGAUAUUAACCAAAUAUUGAUAGGCUAUAGUAUGGUAACUCAGAGCACACACUUUAAAGUUAGACAGAUGGAGACUCAAAUCUACCACUUAUUAAGUGUGCUGCCUUUGGACAGUUACUUAACCUCUCUAAGUCUUGAUUUUCUCAUCCCUAAAAUUGUGAUAAUAAGUGUACCUUCUUGUUAUGGUUGUGAAGGUUAAAUGAGAUAACGUACAUAAAAUACGAGUACAGUGAGCCCUGGGAAAAUGUCAGUUAUCAUUAUCAGUAAAAUAUUAUUAAAAUGAUGAUAUGUUUUAAUGUAAAUUAUCUCAUAGGCUUGUUAAGAGAGUUAAAUACAGUACAUUAAUAUUUUUAAACUGCUUAGAGCAGUACUUGGAACAUAGUUAAAAGCUUUGUAAGUGUAAAUUAAAAAAGCCUAGCUUUUUCUGACCCAUAGCAUCCCAUGUGUGUCAGACUAGAACUGUGCUCCAUAGAGUUUUCAAUGGCUGUGGC